UAGGAUAGGGUGUGAUAGGUAGCACGGAGAAUUUUGAGUUCUUAAGAGUGGGUUCAAGUCCUAUUAUCCUAG
rnacentral:tRNA from 1 species